GGAAUAUAAGAACCCGUCUCUUAACUUUUAACUAAAAAAACUAAGAACCGGUUCUUAAAUAAGAGUUUUAAGAGCCGGUUCUUAACUUUUUUUAGUUAAAAGUUAAGAGAUGGUUCUUAUAUUCC
rfam:Brassica napus, WGS project CCCW01000000 data, contig: 13458